GAUGAACGCUGGCGGCGUGCUUAACACAUGCAAGUCGAACGGAAAGGCCCUGCUUUUGUGCGGUGCUCGAUUGGCGAACGGGUGAGUAACACGUGUGUAACCUGCCCUUGACUUUCGGAUAACUUCAGGAAACUGGGGCUAAUACCGGAUAGGAUCUCCUGCACCAUGGUGGGGGUUGGAAAGUUUCGGCUGUUGGGGAUGGACUCGCGGCUUAACAGCUUGUUGGUGGGGUAGUGGCUUACCAAGUCUUUGACGGGUAGGCGGCCUGAGAGGGUGGCCGGGCACAAGGGGACUGAGGUACGGCGCAGACUGGUACGGGAGGCAGCAGUGGGGAACAUUACACAAUGGGCGCAAGCGUGAGACGAAAGCGUUGCGUGCGUGAAGACGGCUUGUGGGGUGUAAACAGCUGUCGCCUGAGACGAAGCGGUAGUGACGGUAAUGAGUAAAGAAGCACCGGCUAACUACGUG
rnacentral:rRNA from 1 species